rnacentral:lncRNA from 1 species
UGCUUGUUUGUUUGUUUUUUUUUUUUGUUUUUUUUUUCUACUAUAAAUUUCACAGAUGUCUUUUUUUUUUUGCAGUGUAGCAAGCAUCACUGUAAUUGUUCCCACAGGACUGUGCUAAAGGCGAGAAAAUCCCACAGAUGCACAUCGAUGGAAGGACUCGAGUCAUAGAGAGCAGCAUAUAAGAGAGACGUGGGGGUGAAAAAACACCCAGAAAACACAGUAACCACCCAGCAACUUCCAUAAAACUAUGCCCUAAACCCCUCUGAACACCUCCAGAGCCCCGUAUGCUGAAGAUGAAGGUCAAGUAAUCGUACUCAACCCUCCACAUUCCCUGCUUACAUUUGGAAGAUUGAUUGAUUCUGAGAGGAACAUCAAAUCAACAAUUAAAUCUGAUUUCACUCUCAGCAUAAUGCAUUAAAUGUAAUCUAUUAAAG